rnacentral:miRNA from 1 species
GGCGACUGCGGCUCCUCCGCCG